GCGCUCCCGGAGUCCGACCAGCGACGACUCACUCACAGAGGAGUCCUGGUCAUGCGGCCACAUCAAGGCCUCGAGGGCCCGUGCAACCUCCCCGUUAGAGGACUCAACAAGGGGCGGGAGAACGCUUCCCUCCCUAGCUCCGGAGGAAUGGACAGAAGAGGAGGAGGGGGAGGACACCAUCCUAACUGACCUUAACUGGGGAGGGUGCUACGGGAGAGUGGAGCGACGCUAGAGGCGAGGAAGACGACCGGAAGGGAGACGGUGAGACCGGAAGAAAAAAACUCAGCAGUGAAGGACGGAGGGGAAGCCAGGCGCCCGCUAUUUGAAGGGGGCGUCCCGCCGGAACCUUCUCCUCUCGAGAAGUGGGCGGCAGCCCACUCGCAUGCGCGCGUAACCGUCGCGUCGCAUCGGAAAAUACCCAAAAGCGCUCCGCCUUAAUGAAGGCCUGACGUGGCGACCCCGCCAAAAACAGCAGCGUCCAGACGCCUCGAUCCCGGCACCCUAAGACGUGCGGCGGAAGCAAUCAACUCCCCCUCAGGAGAGAAAUUAAACGCGCAGCUCACUAACCCCCGCCACCGUCGA
rnacentral:lncRNA from 1 species